rnacentral:tRNA from 1 species
AAAAAUGAAAUCAUUUGAUGUUUCACUUACAAUGAAAAGUUGUAUUAACUUACCAUUUUUU